GAUGAACGCUGGCGGCGUGCCUAAUACAUGCAAGUCGAGCGAACAGACGAGGAGCUUGCUCCUCUGACGUUAGCGGCGGACGGGUGAGUAACACGUGGAUAACCUACCUAUAAGACUGGGAUAACUUCGGGAAACCGGAGCUAAUACCGGAUAACAUGUUGAACCGCAUGGUUCAACAGUGAAAGACGGUCUUGCUGUCACUUAUAGAUGGAUCCGCGCCGCAUUAGCUAGUUGGUAAGGUAACGGCUUACCAAGGCAACGAUGCGUAGCCGACCUGAGAGGGUGAUCAGCCACACUGGAACUGAGACACGGUCCAGACUCCUACGGGAGGCAGCAGUAGGGAAUCUUCCGCAAUGGGCGAAAGCCUGACGGAGCAACGCCGCGUGAGUGAAGAAGGUCUUCGGAUCGUAAAACUCUGUUAUUAGGGAAGAACAAAUGUGUAAGUAACUAUGCACGUCUUGACGGUACCUAAUCAGAAAGCCACGGCUAACUACGUG
rnacentral:rRNA from 1 species